rnacentral:siRNA from 1 species
ACGCAGAAAAGGAAACCUUGUGCU